rnacentral:piRNA from 1 species
GCUUCGGCAAUGUAGAGUUAAAAGUUAG